AUGACUCCGUCAGCCAGCACCAGCGCCCAACUGGGAUCCACCGAACCCAGGCGCGGCCUACGGUGGGCGUGCGGUUUUGAGUUCAAUAGGAGAGCUCGCGCGAGAUUGAGCGCUGCUCCCGUCUUCCAGCGAACCCAAAAGAGAGCAGAGGAGGAGAUGACCAAGAGCGUUGGUCCAUCGAUCGGCAUCGACCUCGGGAUGACCUACUCCUGCGUUGGCGUGUGGCAGCAUGUCGACAUCAUGGGCAACGACCAGGCCACCAGGGCAACUGCACCACGCCCUCCUACGUCUCCACCAUCAGCGACGCCGCCAGGAACCAGGUUUGCCACAAUUGAGUAUUGGAGAUCGUGUGUGAUUGAAACAUCAUUGACAUUGAUCUUGGCGAGGACAACACAUGGCUUGCUGGCCUUAAACAUAUUUUGUACUGAGAUUUCUGUAAUGUCUCAUGUGACAUUUUCUGUAAUUUUGACAUAG
rnacentral:rRNA from 1 species